UACGAAGGGGGCUAGCGUUGCUCGGAAUCACUGGGCGUAAAGGGCGCGUAGGCGGCCGGCCAAGUCGGGGGUGAAAGCCUGUGGCUCAACCACAGAAUGGCCCUCGAUACUGGCUGGCUCGAGACCGGAAGAGGUUGGUGGAAUUGCGAGUGUAGAGGUGAAAUUCGUAGAUAUUCGCAAGAACACCGGUGGCGAAGGCGGCCAACUGGUCCGGAUCUGACGCCGAGGCGCGAAAGCGUGGGGAGCAAACAGG
rnacentral:rRNA from 1 species